rnacentral:rRNA from 1 species
UAUGCAACCUACCUCUAACAGGGGGAUAGCCCCGAGUAAAUCGGGAUUAAUACCUCAUAACAUUAUGUUAUCGCAUGGUAACAUAAUUAAAGCUCCGGCGGUUAGAGAUGGGCAUGCGUGACAUUAGCUGGUUGGUGAGGUAACGGCUCACCAAGGCGACGAUGUCUAGGGGUUCUGAGAGGAUGAUCCCCCACACUGGUACUGAGACACGGACCAGACUCCUACGGGAGGCAGCAGUAAGGAAUAUUGCGCAAUGGAGGCAACUCUGACGCAGCCAUGCCGCGUGCAGGAAGACGGCCUUAUGGGUUGUAAACUGCUUUUAUUUGGGAAUAACUCCCUGUUUGCGAACGGGGCUGAAGGUACCAAAUGAAUAAGCACCGGCUAACUCCGUGCCAGCAGCCGCGGUAAUACGGAGGGUGCAAGCGUUAUCCGGAUUCAUUGGGUUUAAAGGGUGCGCAGGCGGAUUAUUAAGUCAGUGGUGAAAUCCCGGGGCUCAACCUCGGAACUGCCAUUGAUACUGGUAAUCUUGAAUUCGG